AACGAACGCUGGCGGCAUGCCUAACACAUGCAAGUCGAACGAGACCUUCGGGUCUAGUGGCGCACGGGUGCGUAACGCGUGGGAACCUGCCCUUAGGUUCGGAAUAACUCCCCGAAAGGGGUGCUAAUACCGGAUAAUGUCUUCGGACCAAAGAUUUAUCGCCUUUGGAUGGGCCCGCGUUGGAUUAGCUAGUUGGUAGGGUAAAAGCCUACCAAGGCGACGAUCCAUAGCUGGUCUGAGAGGAUGAUCAGCCACACUGGGACUGAGACACGGCCCAGACUCCUACGGGAGGCAGCAGUGGGGAAUAGUGGACAAUGGGCGAAAGCCUGAUCCAGCAAUGCCGCGUGAGUGAUGAAGGCCUUAGGGUCGUAAAGCUCUUUUACCCGGGAUGAUAAUGACAGUACCGGGAGAAUAAGCUCCGGCUAACUCCGUG
rnacentral:rRNA from 1 species